AUUGAACGCUAGCGGGAUGCCUUACACAUGCAAGUCGAACGGAGUGGCGAACGGGUGAGUAUUGUAAAGGAACGUGCCCAGUAGCGGGGGAUAGCUACGCCAAAGGGAAGCUAAUACUGCAAACUAUUGGCGCGGCCGAUACCGGAUUAGCUAGUUGGUGGGGUAACGGCUCACCAAGGCGACGAUCCCUAGCUGGUUCGAGAGUACGACCAGCCACACUGGAACUGAGACACGGCCCAGACUCCUACGGGAGGCAGCAGUGGGGAAUUUUGGACAAUGGGGGAAACCCUGAUCCAGCCAUGCCGCGUGUGCGAUGAAGGCCUUCGGGUUGUAAAGCACUUUUGGCAGGGAAGCGGUACCUGCAGAAUAAGCACCGGCUAACUCCGUGCCAGCAGCCGCGGUAAUUC
rnacentral:rRNA from 1 species